rnacentral:lncRNA from 1 species
UUCGAUUGAUGAAACUGGUUGGACCGCUUUGGGUAAUGCUUUCAUGUUAUUGUUGUUGUUAGUGCCUCUCUCUGGUACUGCUUCAUGGUUCCUCAAUGGGAGUAGUGACUUGGAUCCUACAGAGGUUGGAGUCAAAGCUGCACCUCCAGCCAUUGUUUUAUCAAAUUUCAACUGAGAUUUUGUGAGGAGUUUAUGGGUGUUAAGUAAGGAGAUUAUGGUGAAUUAUUAUAUGGUAGAGACACCAAAAGAAUGAUUGCGAAGAGUAGGAGAUUGUUAAGUUGUCAUCAAAAUUGUGAUUAAUAAUUAACAAAUUAAGUUUCUGGCAGCCUACUUCUAAACAGAUGAUUCAUGACAAUUGUCUUCUUGAACAGAGCAAUAAUGUUUUUAACUAUUUACAACCUACUUUGAUAGGGUAUGCAGAGUUUAUAGAUAUUUUUCUCUGUAGCUUCAACUUGGGCCACGUGAGAGGAACGUGUCAAAGAGUCAAUUUCAACUUUUUAUAAUGAUUAUUGAUGAAAGUGAGAAUCAUAAAAGCAAUACGACAAAGAAGACGCAACAUUUGACAGAAUAAUAAUGCAACAAAAGCUAAGUGGUCUCUGUGGACGUUAGACUAAAACUAGUAUUGUAUUGAGGGCUUAAAGUAAGCUAGCCACUAAUCUUGAACUUAGUUUUGUCACUUUGCUCUGUCUCGGCCUGCGUCAUCAGUCCAUACAAAAUCUAUGAAUUGAUAGUUUUAUGUUUAUCUCUCUUGCUCGCUUACGUCACGGUUCUCAUCACAGAAACAUUUGAACACAUGUCUUUUGACUGACAAAAAGAUCCGUACAAACAAGACAUGAAUACUUUUAUCAAACAAAACAACAAAACGCCUCCAGAGAUUGCAGCAACUACACACUCGACAGGCUCCUUUUUGAUCAUUAUCAGAGAGGGUUUAAUUUAAUCAUUGCCAUCUCUCCACAAGCACCAAACGUUAUGUCGAUCAUUCAAUCACUUAUGCUAAGGAGACACAGAGCAUUUCAAGACUUGAAGAAGCUUCUUUAGAACCGAGUGUAAUAGCUAUUUCUUAUCCACAAAGUCUUCUCAGGCUUUUGUAAUGUGAGUCUCUAUGCCACUAGGAGAAAGAGAUCCAUCUUUAGUCUCAACAAUCUCUAUGCUUGCGGUUCUACUCUUUCUGUUCCUCCUCUCCUGACAACACAUGAAGAUAUUGUUUGAUUAUUACAAAUGCGGAAACAUAUAAACUAUUUGUUGCAUCUUUGGAUCAUCAUACCUGUCCAAAAGGGUGUUCUUCGGAUUCAAGCAUCCGCACAACUUGACUCAUCCUAGGACGUUUCUCUGCUUCAGGAUCAACACAUCUUAGAGAAACCAAAAGUGCACGUUUCAGAGCACUCUUACUCGGUCUAGGUUCAAGUCUUGGAUCAACAACUUCUUCAGCUCUUCUUGUUCCAACCAUCAUCUUCAGCCAUUCAACCAGAUUCACCUGCCAAUACACAGACUCAAAUCAAUAUCUUUUACAAAAACAACAAAAGCAAAACCAAUUAUGUAAGCCUAACCUCAUUAGCAGGACGUCCAUAAUCAACCGGAUCUCGUCCAGUUACAGCUUCAAGAAGCAAAACACCAAAGCUAUAUAUAUCACUCUUUUCAUUUAACAACCCUGAGUUAGCAUAUUCUGGCGCUACAUAUCUGAAAAAAAUAAUCAAAAAAUAAAGCAAUGAUUUCUUCUGUAAGGACAUUAAUAAUUAACCAUUAUGGCCUCAAUAGAGUACAAAGCUUUUUGGACAUUACCCAAAGGUUCCCAUGACUCUGGUAGUGAUGUGACUCUCACCAGAGUCCAAGAGCUUGGCUAACCCAAAGUCAGAGAGCUUUGCAUUAAACUCAUCAUCAAUUAAUAUAUUGCUUGCUUUUAUAUCUCUAUGGACCACUUUUGGUUCUAUUGCUUCAUGUAAGUAAGCAAGCCUGUAAAGUUGUACAAAAUUGCAGACCACUUUAAUUAAGCAAAUUCAAUAAAAAGGUUAUACAGAUUCAAAACCACUUACGCUUGUGCAGUACCGACAAGGAUCUUCAUCCGUGCCUCCCAAGUGAGGGUUCCAUGUUGCCUCAUAGCUCCAUGUAACCAUUGCUCUAAGUUACCACUAUUCACAUACUCAUAAACAAGCAUCCUGCGUUCAUCAUCAUCAUCAUCAUCAUCAUUAUAAUACAGUAAGUUGUUGUUGUUAGUGCCUCUCUCUGCUACUGCUUCAUGGUUCCUCAGUGGGAGUAGUGACUUGGAUCCUACAGAGGUUGGAGUCAAAGCUGCACCUCCAGCCAUUGUUAUCAAAUUUCAACUGAGAUUUUGUGAGGAGUUUAUGGGUGUUAAGUAAGGAGAUUAUGGUGAAUUAUUAUAUGGUAGAGACACCAAAAGAAUGAUUGUGAAGAGUAGGAGAUUGUUAAGUUGUCAUCAAAAUUGUGAUUAAUAAUUAACAAAUUAAGUUUCUGGCAGCCUACUUCUAAACAGAUGAUUCAUGACAAUUGUCUUCUUGAACAGAGCAAUAAUGUUUUUAACUAUUUACAACCUA